UGGAGACGCCACCAGUUUUGUUUGUCGUACGUUUAUUUUUCCCUUACAGUCCAGUAUCGGAGAGUGAAGACAUUACCAGAGUUAUCCGAGCAAAGGAUUGGCUCUUGCAGACUCCAGUAGGAGUACCAUCUUGUCGCCAGCAAAUUUAGUUGAAUACAAGAGCGGGGAUGUUAUGCUCCAACCUUAUAAGCGCUCAGCUGGAACUGUGUGUGCAGAGGAGAUACAACAGGAUAUUGCCUAAAAUGGAACAGUGAAGGGCCUGGACCAGAAACACCAAUGCUAUCUAACCUGCUGGGUUCCUCCAGCAUUUUGAUGUGUUUUAAAAUUGCACCGGCACUCCAUCACCAGUGAACGAUUUAUUCUCAAAAUUCAAUGAAAAUUACUUCUGGAAAAUUUAUAAAACUGCUUUCUUACUAGGUUUGGCCACCGCUGCUGGCUAUAUCAUAAACACAUGUAGGGAACACCUUCCAAAAGGAAUCAGAUGUUCCACAGUCUCCUUAAAUCCACAGAAACGAGUGGAAACUCAGCACGGUGAGCUGGAGGAUGGGCCUGUUUGAUGGGCACUGUUCCAGAGCAAUCCUUAUAAAACAAGCUCAAAGAUGCCUCGAACAUCUAAAUCCAUAAUAACUUCAUCGAGGAAAAUGCAGACCUGGGACCAGAUUGCAUGGGGGCUGGGGGAUGAUGGACAGAGUAACAGCAAAUGCCAACUAAUUUCCAAAACCAAGCACCUGCAGUGCAUGGUUGAAUAUUAAUCUUCCUUACUAUUUAAUAAAUUUAUUGCAUUUGGAAUUAAAUCAGAAGCAUGUUAUUAACGUGCCUACUGGUAAUGAAUGUGUAAUGUGUGCACUGAUUUGAUUACUCAUUGUAGAAUUACAGUAUUUAUGGGCUUCAUGCAUUGAAUUUCCCCAACAUAUGCAGCGAAAUAUCUCCCUGCGACUGUCCAGAAAACAUGCGCUUAGAACGAUACAGGCACCUUGAUUGACAGAAGAUACAGAAGCCCGAAGUCCCUUACCACCAGGUUCAAAAACAACCAUUUUGUACUACAAUGGACCUUGUUUUAUUAUAAUUCUGCUCUUUCUUGGAUUAAUUUAUGUUUUUCUUCUGAAUGCUGUUUAUAUGAAUCUAUGUGCCUGUGAUGUAGCUGCAAAUUUCUCGUUGCACCUAAGCACGUAUGUACUUGUGCAUAUACAAUAAAUUUGAC